GGAGGCCAAGCUUGAGAUUCUAUCGCCCAUGCCCUCCAACACGAACACUGGAAUAGCACAAUUUUUAUCCAUAAUGCUCUGACAGCAUGGCAAACUGAGUAAGACCAUUUUCUGCCAAAAGAUCCCACAAUGAUGGACGAUAUAGAAGAAAAUUAUAAAAUUAUAAAAUAACUGCAAGUGAGAUUUCUAUACAAAUUCUAUACAAAUUCCAAGGAACAGGAGACAGAGCUCCCCCC
rnacentral:lncRNA from 1 species